GUAGGUGGCAAGCGUUGUCCGGAAUUAUUGGGCGUAAAGCGCGCGCAGGCGGUCCUUUAAGUCUGAUGUGAAAGCCCACGGCUCAACCGUGGAGGGUCAUUGGAAACUGGGGGACUUGAGUACAGAAGAGGAAAGCGGAAUUCCACGUGUAGCGGUGAAAUGCGUAGAGAUGUGGAGGAACACCAGUGGCGAAGGCGGCUUUCUGGUCUGUAACUGACGCUGAGGCGCGAAAGCGUGGGGAGCAAACAGGAUUAGAUACCCUGGUAGUCCACGCCGUAAACGAUGAGUGCUAAGUGUUAGGGGGGUUUCCGCCCCCCUUAGUGCUGCAGCUAACGCAUUAAGCACUCCGCCUGGGAGUACGGCCGCAAGGCUG
rnacentral:rRNA from 1 species